AGGUUUAUGUGUGGGAGGCUUUUCCCAAAACGUAUCAUAAUUUUUAACAUUGCUUGUAUUGUGCAAUUAUUCUAGGUUAGGAAACUCCCUGUAUGUACACGCACUGAUAACAAAAUUUCUGGCAAUUGUUUUUAGGUGGCUAAUUAUAUACAGCUGCUGCUGCACAGGCGUUGCGCGUUGUUGAAGUGUUUUGCGCGCUUGUUUUCUAUUUUCGUCUUCCUCUUCGGUCCCUCUUAAAAGUUGGCCAACAUCAACUGCUGAAGAAACUCCACUAAACCAAAAGCUUACGCCAAAAGGAAUAUAGGAAUAUAUUAAGCAGACUGAAUCUGUGUAGGCACCUAUCCGCUUUUCUGGCAGGAAGCAGACAUGUUCUUUGCCUCUGUUCCAGUAUGACCCUGGAGUAAGUGACCUGUGAACGGAGUCACACUGAGGAUAAGACUUCUUUGCUUCUGUAACAGUAUAUGGACAUCUGACAUUGGGAAGCCCAGCAGACAGAAAACAGAGACAAAGAAAAGAGGAGAGAGAAAGCAAUAGGCCAUGGCUGAGCAGAUGAUUGCUUCUCAAAGUGAUGGUGUAAAGCUAAAUACACGACAUAGACAAAUUAUCCAGACACACCUCUUUAUGGGGCUCUUUUUCAGGGGUUGGGCUCAGCCCCUUGCUGACAGUGAAGGGAAAUCUUAAUGCUUCAGCAUACC